AGUGGAGAUGCCAGGUCAAGGCAGUGCCUGGGGCACCCUCUUCCCCUGGAGCCUGCCUUGCUCUCAGUCAGAAGGCUCCUGCCCAGUCCAGUGGCUGGGAGCUUACUAAUCAUGGCCUUUCAAACCUCCUCCACAAGGCCAAGUUCAAAGGAGGCAGAGAGGAGGCUCAGGGAGACCCUGAAGGAGCAGAUGUUGACUUUGCCUGUCUGUCCUGGAGGAUGGAAACAAAAUGACUCUGAUGAAACCCAAGACAAGCAGAAUGAAGAAGCUGUGCCUGGUGGACCAGGAACUGUAGCCACCCACCACUGCGUAAUCAGACACCACCAUGCAGAAAUGGAGAGGGGAUACAGGAUCUUUUGGGGGUGAUGAAAAUGUCCAGGAAGCAGACGGUAGCAACAGUUGCUCAACAAUUCUGGAAGAACCAAUCAUCAUGAAUGUGUCUCACCAUACUGAGCCUGAAGCUCACCAAUUCAGGCAGACUGGCCGACCAGCAAGCCCCAAGGAUCCUGCCUCCAUCCCACCCGUCACUGGGAUUACAGGCAUAGGCCACCACACCCAUCUUUUAAAUGGGUGGUGAGGAUCUGAACUUGGGUCCCCAAGCUUGCGUAGCAAGCACUUUACCAACUGAAGCCACGGGCUCCGGAGAAAGAGCAGCCGGAAGAGGGUAUCUCCGCAGCUCAACACUCAGCCAGCAGGUCUCUUAGAGAGGGGUCUACACUAGGCGUCUGCUGCAGCUGGAACCCAUCCAAGUCGGGGAGACGGGAGUAGGGAGUGCUGAUACCGAAAGGCCUGGAGCAAUUGUGAGGACUUUGAUUCUUAAUCUGAGUCACAAGGGCAGUCAGGCGCUUUUGUGCAGAAUAUCAGAUCGUUUUCUCUACAAAGUAGCAAAGAAAAGAUCCCGGAGCUCUGUUCCCAGGGUCCACGGGAGCUCGAAACCCGAGAGUUAUUUGCCUUUGAUGUUGAGUCAAACCGGGAACAAGAGCCUCCUGGAGGAGCGCUGGGGAAGGGGUCACCCGUGUUAAGGAAACUUUAUAAAAACUGAAUAGGACAUUUAGCCCACGUGACUAAUUUCUCAGCUAAAGGCUUGAGCUCUGUUAAACUUGGGAGCAUCUAAGAUAACAAACAAUCCUGCACUCCGGGAAGAUUUGGGGCCAGAUCUAACCGGAGCGGAGAAUACCAUGGGAGCAUGCGUGCUUAUGCAAGAUGAAUAGCAAGCUGGGCCAUUGUGGCUCUAAAGUCUUGUAUGUAUAACCAGAUAAUGAGGCACAUGUUAAAAGGUUAGACACUAGCUUACAGGAUGGAUCAGUGGGUACAGACGCCUGCCACUCAGCCUGAUCCCCAGAACUCACAUGGUGAAAGAAAAGAAAGGACUCUGGAAGCAUUCUCCUCUGACCUCCACAUGCGUGCUGUGGCAAAUGUAGACACAUGACCCCUUCCCUAGCUCUCCUCCACACCCAAAAGCUGUCUGCUGACCUCCACACCUACUACAUGGAACCCAUGUGUCCACAUUCAUAGACAUACAUUUCAUAUGCAUACUCAGUAAUAAUAAGUAAAAUAGAUAGCUAAUAGCAAAAGUAACUCAGAUGUACAUCAAAAAAGAAUGGAUAAAGAAAGUGUGUAGCCAUACGGGAUCGACAGAGCAGGUACCAGGA